AAAGCAUCUGCGUCCCUCCCGAGGUAUUGUCCGCUCUGGGAUUGCCACUUCGGGUCUCCGGGAGGUCGCCCAGGGUCUUUGCCCAAUGACAGUCCCGAGCCCUAACGGCGCGGGGGUCCGCGGAGGUACUACCCCUACCCUCACGGUUUUGUCCUACAAAAGGGUCCUCGGUAAGGAGAGGUUAUUGAGCCCCCCAUUUAAGGCACAGACCUUUCCACUGAUUAGCCGAUGUGGGACUAAACUGGGAACCCCAUCCCACAACAGUGUUUAUAACUCUCCAUGGGAACUUCACUAAGAAGAAUAUGAUGGUUGCAAAGACAAAGGCUCUAGUCCUACUAGAGAUGAAAUCUGUAAAUGCAUCGGCAAGCUAUUUGAUGCAACUAACACUCAUACAAUUUCUUUUGAUGAUUAGUUUCUUCACUAGUUUCAAGUUGUUUCUUAGUUCUCGGUAUGAUGUUAAUAGUAGNNNNNNNNNNNNNNNNNNNNGUCGCCCAGGGUCUUUGCCCAGUGACAGUCCCGAGCCCUAACGGCGCGGGGGUCCGCGGAGGUACUACCCCUACCCUCACGGUUUUGUCCUACAAAAGGGCCCUCGGUAAGGAGAGGUUAUUGAGUCCCCCAUUUAAGGCACAGACCUUUCCGCUGAUUAGCUGAUGUGGGACUAAACUGGGAACCCCAUCCCACAACACAGCCCCCCCAGCGGGAAGGUCUGUGCGUGGCCGGGGCCCUUCCUCUAGCGCC
rnacentral:lncRNA from 1 species